ACGAACGCUGGCGGCGCGCCUAACACAUGCAAGUCGAACGGAGCUGUUUUCUCUGAAGUUUUCGGAUGGAAGAGAGUUCAGCUUAGUGGCGAACGGGUGAGUAACACGUGAGCAACCUGCCUUUCAGUGGGGGACAACAUUUGGAAACGAAUGCUAAUACCGCAUAAGACCACAGUGUCGCAUGGCACAGGGGUCAAAGGAUUUAUCCGCUGAAAGAUGGGCUCGCGUCCGAUUAGCUAGAUGGUGAGGUAACGGCCCACCAUGGCGACGAUCGGUAGCCGGACUGAGAGGUUGAACGGCCACAUUGGGACUGAGACACGGCCCAGACUCCUACGGGAGGCAGCAGUGGGGAAUAUUGCACAAUGGGGGAAACCCUGAUGCAGCGACGCCGCGUGGAGGAAGAAGGUCUUCGGAUUGUAAACUCCUGUCCCAGGGGACGAUAAUGACGGUACCCUGGGAGGAAGCACCGGCUAACUACGUGCCAGCAGCCGCGGUAAAACGUAGGGUGCAAGCGUUGUCCGGAAUUACUGGGUGUAAAGGGAGCGCAGGCGGAUUGGCAAGUUGGGAGUGAAAUCUAUGGGCUCAACCCAUAAAUUGCUUUCAAAACUGUCAGUCUUGAGUGGUGUAGAGGUAGGCGGAAUUCCCGGUGUAGCGGUGGAAUGCGUAGAUAUCGGGAGGAACACCAGUGGCGAAGGCGGCCUACUGGGCACUAACUGACGCUGAGGCUCGAAAGCAUGGGUAGCAAACAGGAUUAGAUACCCUGGUAGUCCAUGCCGUAAACGAUGAUUACUAGGUGUGGGAGGAUUGACCCCUUCCGUGCCGCAGUUAACACAAUAAGUAAUCCACCUGGGGAGUACGACCGCAAGGUUGAAACUCAAAGGAAUUGACGGGGGCCCGCACAAGCAGUGGAGUAUGUGGUUUAAUUCGAAGCAACGCGAAGAACCUUACCAGGUCUUGACAUCGGAUGCAUACCUAAGAGAUUAGGGAAGUCCUUCGGGACAUCCAGACAGGUGGUGCAUGGUUGUCGUCAGCUCGUGUCGUGAGAUGUUGGGUUAAGUCCCGCAACGAGCGCAACCCUCGACCUUAGUUGCCAGCAUUCAGUUGGGCACUCUAAGGUGACUGCCGGCUAAAAGUCGGAGGAAGGUGGGGAUGACGUCAAAUCAUCAUGCCCCUUAUGACCUGGGCUACACACGUGCUACAAUGGGCGGUACAAAGGGUCGCGAACCCGCGAGGGGGAGCCAAUCCCAAAAAGCCGCUCUCAGUUCGGAUUGCAGGCUGCAACUCGCCUGCAUGAAGCCGGAAUCGCUAGUAAUCGCGGAUCAGCAUGCCGCGGUGAAUACGUUCCCGGGCCUUGUACACACCGCCCGUCACACCACGAGAGUUUGCAACACCCGAAGUCGGUGAGGUAACCCUUACGGGAGCCAGCCGCCGAAGGUGGGGCAAAUGAUUGGGGUG
rnacentral:rRNA from 1 species